GUAGUCAUAUGCUUGUCUCAAAGAUUAAGCCAUGCAUGUCUAAGUAUAAGCAACUAUACGGUGAAACUGCGAAUGGCUCAUUAAAUCAGUUAUCGUUUAUUUGAUAGUACCUUACUACUUGGAUAACCGUGGUAAUUCUAGAGCUAAUACAUGCUAAAAGCCCCGACUUCGGGAGGGGCGUAUUUAUUAGAUAAAAGACCAAUGCCCUUCGGGGCUCCUUGGUGAUUCAUGAUAACUUAACGAAUCGCAUGGCCUUGCGCCGGCGAUGGUUCAUUCAAAUUUCUGCCCUAUCAACUUUCGAUGGUAGGAUAGUGGCCUACCAUGGUAUCAACGGGUAACGGGGAAUUAGGGUUCUAUUCCGGAGAGGGAGCCUGAGAAACGGCUACCACAUCCAAGGAAGGCAGCAGGCGCGCAAAUUACCCAAUCCCGACACGGGGAGGUAGUGACAAUAAAUACUGAUACAGGGCUCUUUUGGGUCUUGUAAUUGGAAUGAGUACAAUUUAAAUCCCUUAACGAGGAACAAUUGGAGGGCAAGUCUGGUGCCAGCAGCCGCGGUAAUUCCAGCUCCAAUAGCGUAUAUUAAAGUUGUUGCAGUUAAAAAGCUCGUAGUUGAACCUUGGGCCUGGCUGGCCGGUCCGCCUAACCGCGUGUACUGGUCCGGCCGGGCCUUUCCUUCUGGGGAGCCGCAUGCCCUUCACUGGGUGUGUCGGGGAACCAGGACUUUUACUUUGAAAAAAUUAGAGUGUUCAAAGCAGGCCUAUGCUCGAAUACAUUAGCAUGGAAUAAUAGAAUAGGACGUGUGGUUCUAUUUUGUUGGUUUCUAGGACCGCCGUAAUGAUUAAUAGGGAUAGUCG
rnacentral:rRNA from 1 species